AUUGAACGCUGGCGGCAGGCCUAACACAUGCAAGUCGAACGAGUGGCGGACGGGUGAGUAAUGUCUGGGAAACUGCCUGAUGGAGGGGGAUCACUACUGGAAACGGUAGCUAAUACCGCAUACCAUCGGAUGUGCCCAGAUGGGAUUAGCUAGUAGGUGGGGUAAAGGCUCACCUAGGCGACGAUCCCUAGCUGGUCUGAGAGGAUGACCAGCCACACUGGAACGGAGACACGGUCCAGACUCCUACGGGAGGCAGCAGUGGGGACUAUUGCACAAUGGGCUCAAGCCUGAUGCAGCCAUGCCGCGUGUAUGAAGAAGGCCUUCGGGUUGUAAAGGACUGUCGGCGGGGAGGUGGGAACCGCAGAAGAAGCACCGGCUAACUCCGUGCCAGCAGCCGCGGUAAUUC
rnacentral:rRNA from 1 species